CUACGGGUGGCUGCAGUGGGGAAUAUUGGACAAUGGAGGCAACUCUGAUCCAGCAAUUCCGCGUGAAUGAUGAAGGUCUUCGGAUUGUAAAAUUCUUUUAGUUGGGAAGAUAGUGACGGUACCAACAGAAAAAGCACCGGCUAAUUACGUGCCAGCAGCCGCGGUAAGACGUAAGGUGCAAGCGUUAUCCGGAAUUACUAGGCGUAAAGGGCAUCUAGGCGGCUAAUUAAGUCAGAGGUGAAAAGUCAGGGCUCAACCUUGGCCUUGCCUUUGAUACUGGUAAGCUAGAGUACGGGAGAGGAGAGCGGAACUACAAGUGUAGCGGUGAAAUGCGUAGAUAUUUGUAGGAAUGCCAAUGACGAAGGUAGCUCUCUGGACCGAUACUGACGCUAAAGUGCGAAAGCUAGGGGAGCAAACAGGAUUAGAUACCCUAGUAGUC
rnacentral:rRNA from 1 species